rnacentral:lncRNA from 1 species
CACAGUGCCUGUUGAGUUGCCGAAGCCCGAGAUGCCCAAAAUACCCGAGUUGCCGAAGCCCGAGUUGCCCAAGCCUGAGGUUCCAAAAAUGCCCGAGUUGCCAAAGCCUGAAGUGUCCAAAAUGACUACUGAGUUGCCAAAGCCUGAGCUGCCUAAAAUACCCGAGUUGCCGGAAAUGCCUGAGCUGCCAAAGCCUGAGACGCCCAAAACGCCUACUGAGUUGCCAAAACCUGAGCUUCCAAAAAUGCCUGAGUUGCCAAAACUUGAGAUGCCCAAAAUACCUGGUGAGUUGCCGAAACCCGAGCUACCCGAACUGCCUGAGCUGCCGAAACCCGAGUUACCAAAAAUGCCUGAG